rnacentral:rRNA from 1 species
UACGUAGGGGGCGAGCGUUGUCCGGAUUUAUUGGGCGUAAAGAGCUCGUAGGCGGUUCGAUAAGUCGGAUGUGAAAUCUCCACGCUCAACGUGGAGAGGCCAUUCGAUACUGUCGUGACUCGAGUCCGGUAGGGGAGUGUGGAAUUCCCGGUGUAGCGGUGAAAUGCGCAGAGAUCGGGAGGAACACCCGUAGCGAAGGCGACUACCUGGCCUGUUCUUGACGCUGAGGCGCGAAAGCUAGGGUAGCAAACGGG